AGAUAUUGGCUCUGGAAGAUUGGCAUCAAGGUUGGAGAAGGAGGCCGGCCAAUACCCGAGCACAUUUUUGAGGUUUUUGUCAAUUUGGUAAUUCCUAUCCUUUUUAAAUUUGUUGUGCUCGUUUUUAACUUAUUUUUUAAGAAGUAUAUAAAAUUUGAGUUAAGAUCAACAGUUUAUUCAUUAGUUAUUGAGAUUUAAAUCUAUUGUAGGAAUUACUAGGAUUUGGUUAGGGAUUGAUUUAGGGUUAGGAUUUGGUUAGGAUUUGAUUUAGGUUAAAGGUUUGGAUUAGGGUUUGAUUUAGGUUAUAAGGUUUGUUUUAGGAUUUGGUUGGGAUUUACUUUAGGUUUAGGGUUUGAUUUAGGGUUUAAGGUUUGUUUUAGGAUUUGGUUGGGAUUUACUUUAGGUUUAGGAUUUGAUUAGGAUUUGAUUAGGAUUUGGUUUAGGGUUUAUUUAGGGUUUUAUUUAGGGGUUAGGAUUAGGAUUUGAUUUAGGAUUUAGGAUUUUAUUAGGAUUUUUUUAUGGUUUAAAAUUUAAUUAGUUUUGGACUAAAGUUUGAAUGAAGUCUAUUAGUAUUUUAACUAAUUUAAAUUGAGAUUAAAUUGAGAUGUAUUUGAGAGAUAUUUGUGAUCAUUCUAAUAUUUAUUUAAGUUUUUUUAUUAUUUCUUUAAAAUUUCUUUGAGGUUUCUUUGAAUUUGAUUAAAGCUU
rnacentral:lncRNA from 1 species